rnacentral:lncRNA from 1 species
AAAGCCUUCAUCCUGUAUUACACAAGUUCUUGUUCAAUUGAAUGUAUCUAUGUGUAGUGGAUGUGCUGUUGAGUUAAGUUAAUUUUUGGGGCUCAAAAAGCAAGGCCAUGUAGGGGGACAUGGAGUUAUGUACAGGGUAGUGUUCAUGCAAAGAGUUCAGGCCAUUUCUGGUCAAGAGAGACUUUGAACCGAGCGGUCGUCAGCAUCUUCACUAUCUUGUCCGGCAGCUUAUUCCACGGAUCCGCAACCCGGACCGAGAAAGCCCCUCUCCUUCGAUUGAGAUGAAAUCAUUGCAGAUAGAGCUUUUCGGAAUGACCCUGCAGCCGACGCUCUGGAGAAGGAGGCGUUUGUGUAGUUUUCAUGAAAGACAGGUGACCUCUGUUGAGAGAACCAGGAACUUUUUGUUGCAUUCAAUUCUUGGCUGUGUUGUUUCCCAGAUGAGAUGUCACCAUAAAUGAACGUGGAGGGCUGCAUUUGUGUGCCUGUUUCCUUAACGUACAGUGGUACGAACACAUUGCUGGUGAAUGACGUGGUGCACUAGGAAUUCUUGAAUGUCUACCAAAUUGAGAUUGACUAUUAGAUUGACUUGCAGAAGGGAUACCAAGUAACAGGACCUGAAUUUGUUGCACCAGGGCCUGUAUUCGCAUUACCUGCUGCAUCAUCAAGGAAUGGAAUUGGGAAAUCUCCGAGGCACUGAAGGAUGGAAGGAAAGCAUUGGUCGAAGGAAUGGUUGGCAUCACAGUAGCUAAGGUGAAUGAACUUACCUCAGAUACUUAAAAUUUUUCUUUUAAGUGUGUGUUUGUUGGAGGGCAGAUGCUGGAAAAAAGGCUGUUUGAAAAAUUCAUCUGGGAGGAUGUUCUUCCACAAUCUGCUUCAUUCUCCGUAGGAGUUUUUGGCUUUUUGUCUCUCAGUUCUUCAGAUAUCAGGAACUGAUGGAGGCACUUUCGGUGUCCUCUUUAAUGUCAUAUGGCACAAUGUUGAUGGGGUGAGACAGUGUUUGUGUUUGCUCAUAACUGCUGCUGUGUUUUCUCUGCCAUCUCCAUGACUCUCUCUGUGGUUUCUCUUCAGCUCUCUGUCUGGUUGUAGUUUUACAAAUGUACAUCAGUUAUAUGGAUGUGCAUAUACCAUUGAGAACAAGAUUUGGGGUCAAUGUAGGUUGACAGUUAUCGCCUGUGAACUUUGAUACUCACAGUUCACAGGUCAAGAGGGAAAUAGAUUAACCAUGCUUACCUUUUUGACAGAACAAUAGAUGGAAUGGCAAGAAAAUUUUUAGAUUCUAUUUAGAAUCUCAGCCAGGAAAAGAAAUUCAGUUUCUACAUAAUAUUUUAAAUUUAGUAACUAGAUGGAACUAGCUUUUUAAUGUAACCGAGAAACUAGUGCUAUUUAUACUUAUGCUAUUAUUCUUUUAUUUUGUUUUCUUGCUUAGGAGAUCUUUUCUUUAGCUUAUAUAUAUUGAAUUAAUUUCAUUCUUAAAUUUCAAAUAUAUUUUCCCUUAAUAAAUUGACCUCUUAUAAUUAGAAUAAGAAUGAUAUUUCUCAUGUGUAUACAGAGCCCCUCCACAGAUACAUGCAUUUGUAUAGAUGUGCCUAGCAAUAAUAUAGGAUCAGGUUCGGUAAGACUGGAAGGGGUGUCCAAUCUGAUACUGUCACAUACAAUUUAGGUAGAAAAACAGUCGGGCGUCUACGAUCACAGUAAAUGGUGGUUUAUUCUCGGUUACAAUCAAGAACUAGUGCAGGUGUUCUCUAGUGGGAAACCAACAGCCAAAUCCGCAGGACUGAUUGCUAUGCUUUCUUGUUGUGAGUCAAAUGAUUCGUUGGGGUGAGGUCCUCAGAAAGUCAAGACACGUCCGUUCUCGAGCGCUGCUUGAGCCAGAAAGGAUGAGUUAGCGAUCCGCGUUUUAGGGGUCAGUUCCUGCACAUGUGCAUGAGGAAGACUUCCGGUGCCCAACCGGAAGUAAUCCAAUUCUGUGCAUGUGCGCUGAGCCUUACACAGCAGCAUCACUACAGAUGCAUUCUUUUAGUGUCGUGUUUCCGACAUGGUACUCUUUACUCUUU